rnacentral:rRNA from 1 species
ACGGGAGGCAGCAGUGGGGAAUAUUGCACAAUGGGGGAAACCCUGAUGCAGCAACGCCGCGUGAGUGAAGAAGUAUUUCGGUAUGUAAAGCUCUAUCAGCAGGGAAGAUAACGACGGUACCUGACUAAGAAGCACCGGCUAAAUACGUGCCAGCAGCCGCGGUAAUACGUAUGGUGCAAGCGUUAUCCGGAUUUACUGGGUGUAAAGGGUGCGUAGGUGGCAUGGUAAGUCAGAUGUGAAAUACCAGGGCUCAACCCCGGGGCUGCAUUUGAAACUGCCAGGCUGGAGUACAGGAGAGGCAAGCGGAAUUCCUAGUGUAGCGGUGAAAUGCGUAGAUAUUAGGAGGAACACCAGUGGCGAAGGCGAUCUACUGGACGAUAACUGACGCUGAGGCGCGAAAGCGUGGGGAGCAAACAGGAUAGAUACCCUGGUA